GACGAACGCUGGCGGCGUGCCUAAUACAUGCAAGUCGAACGCUGAAGGAGGAGCUUGCUUCUCUGGAUGAGUUGCGAACGGGUGAGUAACGCGUAGGUAACCUGCCUGGUAGCGGGGGAUAACUAUUGGAAACGAUAGCUAAUACCGCAUAAUAGCAGUUAUUGCAUGAUAACUGUUUGAAAGGUGCAAUUGCACCACUACCAGAUGGACCUGCGUUGUAUUAGCUAGUUGGUGGGGUAACGGCUCACCAAGGCGACGAUACAUAGCCGACCUGAGAGGGUGAUCGGCCACACUGGGACUGAGACACGGCCCAGACUCCUACGGGAGGCAGCAGUAGGGAAUCUUCGGCAAUGGACGGAAGUCUGACCGAGCAACGCCGCGUGAGUGAAGAAGGUUUUCGGAUCGUAAAGCUCUGUUGUAAGAGAAGAACGAGUGUGAGAGUGGAAAGUUCACACUGUGACGGUAUCUUACCAGAAAGGGACGGCUAACUACGUG
rnacentral:rRNA from 1 species